GACGAACGCUGGCGGCGUGCUUAACACAUGCAAGUCGAACGGAAAGGCCCUGCUUUUGUGGGGUGCUCGAGUGGCGAACGGGUGAGUAACACGUGAGUAACCUGCCCUUGACUUUGGGAUAACUUCAGGAAACUGGGGCUACUACCGGAUAGGAGCUCCUGCUGCAUGGUGGGGGUUGGAAAGUUUCGGCGGUUGGGGAUGGACUCGCGGCUUAUCAGCUUGUUGGUGGGGUAGUGGCUUACCAAGGCUUUGACGGGUAGCCGGCCUGAGAGGGUGACCGGCCACAUUGGGACUGAGAUACGGCCCAGACUCCUACGGGAGGCAGCAGUGGGGAAUAUUGCACAAUGGGCGGAAGCCUGAGGCAGCAACGCCGCGUGCGGGAUGACGGCCUUCGGGUUGUAAACCGCUUUCGCCUGUGACGAAGCGUGAGUGACGGUAAUGGGUAAAGAAGCACCGGCUAACUACGUG
rnacentral:rRNA from 1 species